rnacentral:rRNA from 1 species
ACAGUCACUGACAUUAGAUACCCGUGUAGUCCAGGGUGUAAACGCUGCAGACUUGGUGUUGGAAGCCCUUUGGGGGCAUUCAGUGCCGGAGAGAAGUUGUUAAGUCUGCUGCUUGGGGAGUACGUCCGCAAGGAUGAAACUUAAAGGAAUUGGCGGGGGAGCACCGCAACGGGAGGAGCGUGCGGUUUAAUUGGAUUCAACACCGUAAAACUCACCAGGGAAGACUGUUACAUGAAGGCCGAGAUGAAGACUCUGCUAGAUUUUCAG